rnacentral:rRNA from 1 species
GACGAACGCUGGCGGCGUGCCUAAUACAUGCAAGUAGAACGCUGAAGGAGGAUCUUGCUUCUCUGGAUGAGUUGCGAACGGGUGAGUAACGCGUAGGUAACCUGCCUGGUAGCGGGGGAUAACUAUUGGAAACGAUAGCUAAUACCGCAUAAUAGUAGCUGUUUCAUGACAUUUGCUUAAAAGGUGCAAUUGCAUCACUACCAGAUGUACAUGAUUUGUGUUAGCUGGUUGGUGGGGUAACGGCUAACCAAGGCGACGAUACAUAGCCGACCUGAGAGGGGGAUCGGCCACGCUGGGCCGGAGACACGGCCCAGACUCCUACGGGAGGCAGAAGUAGGGAAUCUUCGGCAAUGGACGGAAGGCUGAACGAGCAACGCCGCGUGAGUGCAGAAGGUUGUCGGAUCGUAAAGAUCUGUUGUAAGAGAAGAACGAGUGUGAGAGUGGAAAGUUCACACUGUGACGGUAUCUUACCAGAAAGGGACGGCUAACUACGUG